UCGAGAGGCUUCCACAAUGGGGGAAACCCUGAUGGAGCGACGCCGCGUGGGUGAUGAAGGUCUUCGGAUCGUAAAGCCCUUUCAGCAAGGACGAAGGGAUCGGGUGCUACUACCAUCGGGUCAAGGACGGUACUUGCAGAAGAAGCUCCGGCUAACUCCGUGCCAGCAGCCGCGGUAAGACGGAGGGGGCAAGCGUUGUUCGGAUUUACUGGGCGUAAAGGGCGUCUAGGCGGAAUGGUCAGUCAGGUGUGAGACCCCGCGGCUUAACCGGGGAUCUGCACUGGAUACUGCCAAUCUUGAGUAUGGAAGAGGAAAGGGGAAUUCCAGGUGUAGCGGUGAAAUGCGUAGAUAUCGGGAAGAACACCGGUGGCGAAGGCGGCUUUCUGGUCCAAUACUGACGCUAAAGCGCGAAAGUGUGGGGAGCAAACA
rnacentral:rRNA from 1 species